GGUGACACUCGGAUAUUUUGAGUUUAAUCUUUUUUGAAUCUUUUUGAAUCAUUCGGGAUCAUUUCGAAUCCCGCCAAAUCAAAUCAUAUAGAAAAGUGAGGAAACUUUUGCUUCAGUGUGCUAAGAGCACCUGUCAAAGCGACCAGAUUCGCGCGCGGACAAAGUUUACGAAACGUAAAAAAAAACACGAACGGCAAUUUUGAGGGCAUUUCAAUUAUCUAAAUGCAUGCAGGAGUGCUCCAAAUGGAAGUACUCCACGUUGGUCGGAUCUACGCCAGGGAAACGCACCGGAGGCUGAUUGGAAACUUCAAGGUUUGACCGGAAUAAAUGGUGUGAUUGGGUGAGGGGAUCAACUUUUUGGAGUCGUCGACCUCCACCUGCAGUUCUUGACUCCUGGGGAUCAUCCUUCACCGCCACACAUCGUUCUUCUGCAUCUGCACAUCGCCGAAGAUCGUCCUUAGCAA